rnacentral:lncRNA from 1 species
UGAAAGAAUAGUGUCAAAAUAAUUGGUUGGGCGAUGUGGGCCAUGGAAAUGGUUGCAGAAAUGAAAGAGAGGAAUGUCUACCCACACGCAUGCAUCAAAUUUAGACCCUUUCUUUUUUUUUCAUUUAUAUUUCUCAUUUAAACCAAAGUUUCAGCUAUGCAUUUUUUUUUUCUGUCCCAAAAGUUUGUGAUGUACAUUGAGACAACUAGUUUGCACGAGGGUCUCUGUUCUGUUUUCUUGUGCUUUUUUGUGCUCCUUUUCGUUCGUCAAUUUCCUUCUCC